UUAGGGUGAUCGUCCCUCAUAAAUAAUCAACACUUUGGCAAUACCUCAGAAGCGUGGUAUGGCUCUGAGAAGCGUUUAAUGCCUCUGAGCGGCAUUUAAACCAACCCAUGUGCUCAGCGAGUGAUUUAAAGGUCUACGUUGACAUCCGAGAAAUUUGCAUUUCUCAUCUAUUUUUUCUUGAUUUUUUGAAGAUUUUUGUAAUUUUUUUUGUGGCGAAUCUAGCAUCACCCGUCAGGCAAGCCUCUAAGCAGUCACUGAGGGCAGUGAGGGGUGUCUCAGUCAGUAGCCCGCGGCGGGCUGUUGAGAGAGAAAGGAGGGUGUGUUGCUCUGAUCAGCAUCAUUACUUCUCUUUUAGCACUCUUUAGCACUUCUACGUAGCUACAUCACCUUACUCUUCUGAAGAUGGCUAGAAUAAAGAAGGGAGUGAAGCAGAGCCGACUGAACCUAAAAGCGGCAAGAGAAAAGAAGAAAAAGCAGACGCCGAGUGUUGAUGCCCGCGUGACCACAAGCAGUGAGUCACCACCACCACCACCACCCAGCAUGUCACCAUCACCAUCCAGCGUGAAGAGGAAGAACCUUUUGACAAAAGAAUCUGAUAUACCAGUGGUAACACAAGAAAAUGUCUUUUUGAAGAAACAAAGCUUAGAAGAACUUGCAUCGAAUGUGUGCUGCCCUGAGUGUUUUGAGAAGAUGAAGUGCAUAUUCACGAGAAAACAUGCAGACAGUAGCUUCAAAAUUGUGUGUACAAAGUGUUCAUAUAUAGCAAAAGACACUGCUGAAGACCACAAAAGUAAGGAAGUAAGUGAAGGACUGAGGCUAGUAGAAGAUGUCUACAAAAGGCUAACAACUGAUGAUAUGAUGACGAGGUGCCUCAGAGGGAAGACUCAAAAUCCCAAUGAGUCAUUACACCACAGAAUAUGGCGCUACUGCUCAAAGCACAAAAAUGCCACGAAGGAAAUGCUGGACUUCGCAACUGCACAGGCGGUGUCCAACUUCAAUGGAGGAUAUCUUUCUAGCGACCUGUGCAGUAAGUUGGGAGUGGCCUUCACAGACAAGAACUACAAAUACCUUACAAAGGAAAACACCAAAAUGGACAGGCCGAUCAAGAAGAAGAUCAGAAGCAAACAACUGCAAAAGGACCUGGAGGCAUAUGCAUCUGGUGCGCAUUAGCCAUGCAGCGACACUCCCAGAACUUCAGAGCCUCUUUUCUCAAAACAUAGAUACCAUGAUGAAACUUCGCCUCAUCAUUUACCAUAUGGUUACACACUUUGAGUAAAAUUUACAAAAGGCUA